GGGGCGAAGCCUGAUGCAGCGACGCCGCGUGAGGGAUGACGGCCUUCGGGUUGUAAACCUCUUUCAGCAGGGAAGAAGCGAAAGUGACGGUACCUGCAGAAGAAGCGCCGGCUAACUACGUGCCAGCAGCCGCGGUAAUACGUAGGGCGCAAGCGUUGUCCGGAAUUAUUGGGCGUAAAGAGCUCGUAGGCGGCUUGUCACGUCGGUUGUGAAAGCCCGGGGCUUAACCCCGGGUCUGCAGUCGAUACGGGCAGGCUAGAGUGUGGUAGGGGAGAUCGGAAUUCCUGGUGUAGCGGUGAAAUGCGCAGAUAUCAGGAGGAACACCGGUGGCGAAGGCGGAUCUCUGGGCCAUUACUGACGCUGAGGAGCGAAAGCGUGGGGAGCGAACAGGAUUAGAUACCCUGGUAGUCCACGCCGUAAACGGUGGGAACUAGGUGUUGGCGACAUUCCACGUCGUCGGUGCCGCAGCUAACGCAUUAAGUUCCCCGCCUGGGGAGUACGGCCGCAAGGCUAAAACUCAAAGGAAUUGACGGGGGCCCGCACAAGCAGCGGAGCAUGUGGCUUAAUUCGACGCAACGCGAAGAACCUUACC
rnacentral:rRNA from 1 species